AUGUUAGCGGCGGACGGGUGAGUAACACGUGGGUAACCUGCCUGUAAGACUGGGAUAACUCCGGGAAACCGGGGCUAAUACCGGAUGCUUGUUUGAACCGCAUGGUUCAAACAUAAAAGGUGGCUUCGGCUACCACUUACAGAUGGACCCGCGGCGCAUUAGCUAGUUGGUGAGGUAAUGGCUCACCAAGGCGACGAUGCGUAGCCGACCUGAGAGGGUGAUCGGCCACACUGGGACUGAGACACGGCCCAGACUCCUACGGGAGGCAGCAGUAGGGAAUCUUCCGCAAUGGACGAAAGUCUGACGGAGCAACGCCGCGUGAGUGAUGAAGGUUUUCGGAUCGUAAAGCUCUGUUGUUAGGGAAGAACAAGUACCGUUCGAAUAGGGCGGUACCUUGACGGUACCUAACCAGAAAGCCACGGCUAACUACGUGCCAGCAGCCGCGGUAAUACGUAGGUGGCAAGCGUUGUCCGGAAUUAUUGGGCGUAAAGGGCUCGCAGGCGGUUUCUUAAGUCUGAUGUGAAAGCCCCCGGCUCAACCGGGGAGGGUCAUUGGAAACUGGGGAACUUGAGUGCAGAAGAGGAGAGUGGAAUUCCACGUGUAGCGGUGAAAUGCGUAGAGAUGUGGAGGAACACCAGUGGCGAAGGCGACUCUCUGGUCUGUAACUGACGCUGAGGAGCGAAAGCGUGGGGAGCGAACAGGAUUAGAUACCCUGGUAGUCCACGCCGUAAACGAUGAGUGCUAAGUGUUAGGGGGUUUCCGCCCCUUAGUGCUGCAGCUAACGCAUUAAGCACUCCGCCUGGGGAGUACGGUCGCAAGACUGAAACUCAAAGGAAUUGACGGGGGCCCGCACAAGCGGUGGAGCAUGUGGUUUAAUUCGAAGCAACGCGAAGAACCUUACCAGGUCUUGACAUCCUCUGACAAUCCUAGAGAUAGGACGUCCCCUUCGGGGGCAGAGUGACAGGUGGUGCAUGGUUGUCGUCAGCUCGUGUCGUGAGAUGUUGGGUUAAGUCCCGCAACGAGCGCAACCCUUGAUCUUAGUUGCCAGCAUUCAGUUGGGCACUCUAAGGUGACUGCCGGUGACAAACCGGAGGAAGGUGGGGAUGACGUCAAAUCAUCAUGCCCCUUAUGACCUGGGCUACACACGUGCUACAAUGGACAGAACAAAGGGCAGCGAAACCGCGAGGUUAAGCCAAUCCCACAAAUCUGUUCUCAGUUCGGAUCGCAGUCUGCAACUCGACUGCGUGAAGCUGGAAUCGCUAGUAAUCGCGGAUCAGCAUGCCGCGGUG
rnacentral:rRNA from 1 species